rnacentral:rRNA from 1 species
UUACACAUGUAAGUAUCCGCACACCAGUGAAAAUGCCCCAAAACAAUAAAGGAGCAGGUAUCAGGCACGACCUUUCAGCCCAAAACACCUUGCUACGCCACACCCCCACGGGACUUCAACAGUGACAAACAUUAAGCAAUAAGCGAAAAGACUAUUUCAAGCUUGACUUAGUUAUAAUCAAUUAAGGGUCGGCCAAUCUCGUGCCAGCCGCCGCGGUUAUACGAGAGACCCAAAACAACAGCAUACGGCGUAAAUUGUGGCUAGAAUAAUAGCUAACAACUAAGAAACAAACUACUACCUUACCGUAAAACACAGGUAAAAUGAAGUCUCUUUUCCAAAGCAAUUUGAACCCACGAAAUCUAAGAAACAAACUAGGAUUAGAUACCCUACUAUGCUUAGAUGUAAAAAGAUAUAGUUUAACACCAAUAUCCGCCAGAGAACUACAAGCGAAAAGCUUAAAACUCAAAAGACUUGGCGGUGUCCCAAACCCGACUUAGAGGAGCCUGUCCUAUAAUCGAUAAUCCACGAUAAACCCGACCAUCUCUUGCCAAUCAGUCUAUAUACCGCCGUCGCAAACCUACCUCACAAUAGAAUAAUAGUAGGUGUAAUAGUUCAAACCACUAACACGUCAGGUCAAGGUGUAACUAAUGAGAUGGAAGAGAUGGGCUACAUUCUUUAUAUUAAAGCAAACAAAAGAGUCAUGAAACCAGACUCAAAAAGGAGGAUUUAACAGUAAAACUGGCAAGAAAACCAAUUUUAAACCCGCUCUGGGACGCGCACACACCGCCCGUCACCCU